rnacentral:misc_RNA from 1 species
AAGAAAAAUAAAUUAAAUAAAAAAGAUAAGAAAGAAAAAGAAGUUGAAGAAGAAAAAAGGAGAGAAAGAAAAAAAUGAUGAAAAAAAAUAGAUGUGAAAGAAAAAGAUGUUGAAAAGAAAAUAUAUGAAAAAGAAAAAGAUGAAAAAGAAAAUAGAUGAGAAAAAAAUGAUAAAAAAUAUGUUAAAAAAGAAAAGAUAAUAAAUAAAAAAGAUGAGAAUAAAAAAAAGAUAAAGAAAAUGAGAAAAAAUGAGUAGUGGGAAACAAAAUGAAUAAUGGGAAAAGAAAAUAAGUAGUAGUUUAUAUAAGCGAAUUAAAAACUGAUUGUCGGUUGCUAAUUUAUUUUAAAAAUUGGGUGAAAAUUUUUUCAGAAAAAAUUUUACAACCGAUUUGCAAUAGGUUGCCAAAUUGGUUACUAAUAGCAACUGAUUUCAAUAUGUUACAGAAAUCAAUUGCUAUCGGCAAUUGAUUUGCAAAUUGAUUACAAAUCAAAAUAAAAAGAAAAAAAAAAUGAAUGGAAAUUUUUUGAGGGAAAAAAUUGGUUAUAAAAUCAGUUACUACUAGCAACCUAAUCGGUUUCAAAAAUUAGUUGUUUUUGGUAAUUGAUUCGUAAAUCAAUUACAAAUAAAAAAAAGAAAACAAAAAAUUGUAGGAGUUUUUCGAGGAAAAAAAUCAAUUGCAAAAGUAAUCGAUUUUAAUCGGUUGUAAAAAUCAGUUGCUGUUAGCA